rnacentral:rRNA from 1 species
GACGAACGCUGGCGGCGUGCUUAACACAUGCAAGUCGAACGGAAAGGCCCUGCUCUUGUGGGGUGCUCGAGUGGCGAACGGGUGAGUAACACGUGAGUAACCUGCCCCUGACUUUGGGAUAACUUCAGGAAACUGGGGCUAAUAUCGGAUAGGAGCUCCUGCUGCAUGGUGGGGGUUGGAAAGUUUCGGCGGUUGGGGAUGGACUCGCGGCUUAUCAGCUUGUUGGUGGGGUAGUGGCUUACCAAGGCUUUGACGGGUAGCCGGCCUGAGAGGGUGACCGGCGACAUUGGGACUGAGAUACGGACCAGACUCCUACGGGAGGCAGCAGUGGGGAAUAUUGCACAAUGGGCGGAAGCCUGAUGCAGCGACGCCGCGUGCGGGAUGACGGCCUUCGGGUUGUAAACCGCUUUCGCCUGUGACGAAGCGUGAGUGACGGUAAUGGGUAAAGAAGCACCGGCUAACUACGUG